UGUAAUAGUAAUUUUCUUACUACCCCACCAAACCUAAACUACCGGUAAUCUAUUUACUCACCUAUUAUGCAAUAUGUAUAUUAGGAUGCAACGGACCAUCCUACCCUAUUUUUUUGGAUCUAGAGUCCAUCCACUCCCAUGCCGGUUUUCCCGGAUCGACCAAGAGCUCGAGGGAGAGGGCACGGGAGAAGGCUGGCGGUGGAAGUGUCCUCCAGCGGCGGGCGGUGGACGAUGGGCGAAAUUGGUCAACGACGGCUGAAAUCGGUCGGAGGCGGCGAUGGUCGCGGGUCGCCAACGUCCUUUGCGCCGAGCCAUGGAGAGGAUCUCUUGAGGAGGAGGGGGCGGUUGACGGCGGGAUGCGGGGAGGAGCUUCCUGCUGCGUUGACCACACCCUGAUUCCUCCCUCGAAGGAUCUGGCACGGAUCAGGCCUCCCAUCGCUGCCUCCCUCCCACAGCGGUGGCGUCAUGAUCUGUGAUGCACGAUGAUAAUGAGGUCUGCACUCGCGCCGGUCGGCAGCAGGCGCUGGAGACCCUGGCCACGCAAAGCAGGCAUGGGGAUGGCGGUCAGGAUCGAUGGAUGGAUGGAUGUUCAAUUCGUGGCUGUGGGAUGCCUCUCUAGAUGUUCGUGGGUGAUGGAUAUCUGCCGAUGGGAGACCUAAGGAUCUAUAGUGUUUUGUCGGCUCAACAUCGAUAUGUGGCACUAGCGCCGUCUUGUUUAUUGGAUUCGUGCAUGUAAUAGUAAUUUAGUUACUAAGAGACAUUGAGAACCAUCAGUGAUAGUAACUUGGUUACUAAGAGAUUUUUUUGGCAAUAUCAAUAUGUUAUGUUGAGAUUGGUGUAAUAGUAAUUUAUUUACUAAGAGAAAUCUUAUGAUGAUAUCAAUACGUUAUUUUUAAGUAAUUUAUUUACCGCGAGAA